AAGAAGUAUGGGGGUAGUUGUUUGUUAGAUGCAACAUACAAAACAUCAUAUGAUAUUCCUUUAUUUUUUAUAGCUGUGAAGAGUAAUGUGGGCUAUUUGGUUGUCGGUUUUUUUCAUUCAGAUUGAAAAUGCAAGAUCCAUUCAUGAAGCACUAGACAUUUUCAAGGACUGGAACAAGGAUUGGAAUCCCCUCUAUUGGGUUACCGAUUUCUCGGAGUCGGAGAUAAAUGCAAUUGAGCAAGCAUUCCCUCAGACAAAAGUUUACUUGUGCCUUUUCCAUCCAAAACAGGCAUGGGGAAGAUGGUUGAAAAAAAGGAUAAUCUACGUGUACCAAAUGACAUGAAGAGAUUUCUGGACAUGUGGCAAGAAAUUUCAGAAUCAUCAACAGAGAGAGAAUUUAGAGAUCACGUAGAAGAGUUGCGAACGCACGAGGUUUCUCGGAGAAACGAGCGUGCGUGGCCAUACUUUCAACAGCAGUGGCUAACGGUAUGUGAAAGAUGGGUGAAAGCGUAUGAGGACAAGGGCAGAUUUGCAACCAUUGACACUACAAAUGGAGUUGAAGCCAUGAACAAGGUUGUAAAACAUUUUUUCCUUAAACACAAUUCAGACAGGACUUUAACUGGGGUUACUAAGGUUAUAAUAAACCAGUUUCUUCCAAGCCUAAUUAGAAAGUACUGUCUGCAGAAUUCUGCCAUCAAAGCUUAUAACAAAGAUGUUCCACUGUUUUUGCAUAAAAAACAAACAAGUUUGUGAAACAUGUCAUGCAGCGAUAUGAAUCAGCGAAAGUUGAGUUAACUGCAAAAUCAGUGAGUGGGAGAUUGGAUGGUUCAUUUUGUGUGGAGAGUGCAAAGUCCAAAAAGUGUAGUUAUGUUGUAAACUUUGAUAUACCAGAUUGCACAUGUGUAGAUUUUCGGAGAUAUAAAUACCCAUGCAAGCACUUCUGUGCAAUCUUUAUUUUUUACCCAGAGUGGGGUUUUGAUAAAAUGCCAGAAAGUUAUGAGACUAGUCCAUUAAUCUGUCUUGAUGAAAUGUAUGGUGUGGGCUUUAGAAGUGGCUCUUUAGUAAUUUCAUGCGAAGGUAGUAGUACUGAUGAAGCAGCUGAGGAGGCUGUCAAGGCAGCAAAUACAGAUGGUCUUGUUCAAACCCAGAAUAUUUCUUCGCAGCAGUUUGAAGCGAGGGAGCUGUGUAAACAGAUUUAUAAUCUCACAUACAACUGCAGCAACAGCGAAACAUUACAAAAAGUACUUGAAUCACUGAGCAACUGUGUGCAAGAUUUGCAAUUAGCAAAUCCUGAAGUUGGUGGUCUCCCAUUAGUAGUGCCAUCAACUUCCAAACAAUAGUGAAGAACGAUGCCAAAAGCCUUAAGAGAUCUGUCUUAAACACAUUAUAACUUUCCAUUUGAAGGGUAAGAAAUGAUGGUUUAUUUGGAUUUUAGAUAGCUCUUUGUCUAUGUAAAAUACGAAUAAGCUCCGUCAUUUCUGAUCCUCGAGAUGGAAUGCUAUGAGGUCUUUAUGUUGGUCUCUGCUUUUAAACUUUGUUGCACAUUUGAAUUUCGAAGUAGCAAUAGAUAAAAUAUUAUAAAAAGGAUAGUUGCUACAUUUGUGUGUGUGUGUGUUUGUGAGUGAGUGUGCGCGCGCGCGCGCUUUUGAAAAGGCCCUUGUUGCCCGAAAGAUAAGUCCGACAGUCUUUUUGUUGUGCCUUUCUGUGACUCGGCAUCUUCACUAUUUGGUGAGCAGCAACAACUAUCCUUUUCAUAAUAUUGUUACAUUCCAUCCUGGAUUUUUCGUUGUUCACCAGAGAAAAGAUUUUUCUGAGGAAUUAAACUAGAUGAUAGUGUAGAACUUGCAAACUUUUUAAAAUAUGAAGUAAAAGAUUUUAACUUUAAAUUAGUUUAAUUCAAAUAUGGGACAAUGUUGAGAAUUGAAAAGGUGGAAAAAAUAAAUAAGAUAUAUCUUAGUGGCAUUGAGAUGUCGUAUGACUGAUGGAGAAAAGAUUUUGCAUUUCUUUUUCCAAGUAAGAAUGCACUUGCUCUCACUUGCUUCAAUACAUGUCUAGUGAUUCACGUGAAACAGAGAAAAAGAUAAAGACUGCCCUGUUAAUGAACAUGUGAGAUUGCCCAGUAUCACUCUGACAGAAGAGUGUGCUGUUUCCUUGAUAUGGUAUCUGGUCAUCAAUGUCAUUGGGACCAAAUGAAAGUUACUGCAGAGACCACACAGAAGCAAUUACUGUUACUGGAAUACCAGUAAUGUUUAUUAAAUUCAGUUAUAAAGUAGUUCUGGGCAUUGCAGCUGGUGAGUAAUGUCAUUGGGCACCAAAAGAAGUUCAGUUACGAUGGAUUUGUGGCCUUCAGUCCGUGGGAAAAUUCACACCAGAUUGAAUCAAGACUGUUAUAUUCCAAGGAUAUCGAAGAUUGAUAGUAUUCCUGAAGGAAAACAAUCCAUGUAGUAUUUCACGUGUGUAUCAAACUGCCAUUUGUUGUGGCACAUAAAUGUUUGCAACUUGAUUGUAAUUUUUGACAGGUUUCUCAACAAUCCAAGAAUUUCUUGUAAUGAGAAGUAGACAUUGUUGCUUGGGUAAAGGAAAUACAAAUCACGGUCAAUACAACUACCUUAUUAACUUUCCACAGAUAAAUAUUUUUCACUACUGCUACUUAAAAAUUCAAAUGUGUGACAGUUUGCUUACAGAACUUGGCAUAAAGAUCUCCCUUAUUUGUAUUUUUUAGAUAGCUCUUAUUGUUUGAUCCUUCAAAUGGAAUGCUAUGACCUCCAUGUGAUCUAUUCCUUAGUAGUUAAUUAUCCAUUAAGGCACAAAUAUAUGAACAUUACAAUGAGAGGGGUCUUUAUGCCAGGCCCUGUAAAAGUAAUGGCAUCUUACUUAAUAUUAUUGUUGGGAAUUUGAUGGCACAGCUGUGGGGAGACCACAAAUUUCAGGGUUUGCUAACUGCAAAUCUGGCACACAGUUGCUGAGUGAUUCAAGUACUUUUCAUAAUGUUUCACUAUUGA